rnacentral:rRNA from 1 species
GACGAACGCUGGCGGCGUGCUUAGCACAUGCAAGUCGAACGGAAAGGCCCUGCUUUUGUGGGGUGCUCGAGUGGCGAACGGGUGAGUAACACGUGAGUAACCUGCCCUUGACUUUGGGAUAACUUCAGGAAACUGGGGCUAAUACCGGAUAAGAGCUCCUGCUGCAUGGUGGGGGUUGGAAAGUUUCGGCGGUUGGGGAUGGACUCGCGGCUUAUCAGCUUGUUGGUGGGGUAGUGGCUUACCAAGGCUUUGACGGGUAGCCGGCCUGAGAGGGUGACCGGCCACAUUGGGACUGAGAUACGGCCCAGACUCCUACGGGAGGCAGCAGUGGGGAAUAUUGCACAAUGGGCGGAAGCCUGAUGCAGCAACGCCGCGUGCGGGAUGACGGCCUUCGGGUUGUAAACCGCUUUCGCCUGUGACGAAGCGUGAGUGACGGUAAUGGGUAAAGAAGCACCGGCUAACUACGUG